GGUGCAUUGCAAGUCGGCCAGGAUGCCACAAAGCUAUUGUUCAUCACGUCCUUUUUAGUAAGUAUUAUUAGAUACAUGUCCAUCAAUUAUUACUACUUAUUAUUAUCUUGUGAUCUUGUUCUAUAAUCACCUGUAUUACGCAGAUAGCCUUCCCAAUGAGUGAAGAUUGUUUUCAUAUGAGGUGUGCAAUUUUUAGUAAGAAAUAAAUUAUUUUUUUUAUUUAUUUAUUUUUGUAUGGUGAUAGUUUUGAGCUGCAACAUAUGAAGAAGCAGUUCCUACAUGUAUAUUUGAACCUUUGAUUCGACAAGAGGAGUCAGAGCUUUACUUAAUACAUAUGGUUUAUUUAGAGUUGUCUUAAUACGAAAACUAUUGCUAUUGCUACUCCACGUGUUACAAUUAUAGUGCAUAUACGUGCCGCCUCAAUUUCUUCACACGAGCCGUGCACUGCAUCGUCUUUAGCGUCAGGAGGGAGAGAAGGGUAGGGGUUUAGCUUUACGUUUCGUGGGGCACAUUUAUAUGAUGAGUGUAAUAUACUUUGUUUAAGAUUUUGUGAGAGAUUUUUCAAGACAUGCAACCCGUAUGACAGGGACUAAUAUUUAUAUAUAUACUCAAACCUGUGUACAAGAUAAUAUGGAGAUGCAGCAGAAUUUAUUCGUAGAUUUAUUGAUAUACAAAAUAAACAGAUAUCGGAGAUUUUUCUAGCCGAUAUAAAACAUUAUCUUAACUGUAUCACGAAAAUGUCUAUAGAGUAGAGUUUGUGAGUGUGAUGCCACGCUCUCCAUGACUAUAUUAAUUUCACGAACUUUGCCUUUUGAAUUAAAUGUCACUUUAAUAUUGGUAUUUAAUUUAUAAUAUUAUUAUCUUAUCGUGCGAUCCAUGUGUUUUUAGUAUAAAAAUUUAGUUAUCCCGUAGCAACGUACGGACACGCUACUUAUUUUAUAAAAAUUUGAACAAGCCUUUGUUUUCCACGGAACCGCGUCGUCCUACAAACGGGACGGAUCGGACACGUCGAUGGGACACUCGAGUGGCCGCCGGGUCCAGGGGUGUAGCCAAACUUUCGGCAUUGGUCGGCCGGCGGUAGGGGUUUUCCUUGGGAGGAACGGAAUCAACCGACGACUUGACCUCAUCCUCAUCUGGGAGUCUCGGUCAUGUUACUCCUCAGCUCAACUACUACUGCGCCUGCUACUCAUCGACUGUGCAUUGUUUAAAGUUACUAGAAAAUGAUUUUGCUAAGAGAACAAGAGCUGCAUGGACGAAUGCAUAUCAUCAUUCGGAUCAGAAUUUAUAAAGUCCUAUGAAACGUACAUAUGUGCUGUAACAGGAUGUGUAUAACUUUUACGAUAUUAUUAUUAUUAUUAUUAUUAUUAUUAUUAUUAUUAUUAUUAUUAUUAUUAUUAUUAUUAAAUUUAAUUAAACUUGGUACAAUAUUAAAUCAGAUAAAUUCUAAAGUCAUCUUUUUUGAGAAUUUUACUA
rnacentral:lncRNA from 1 species